rnacentral:rRNA from 1 species
UACGUAGGGGGCUAGCGUUGUCCGGAAUCAUUGGGCGUAAAGAGCGUGUAGGCGGCCUUUUAAGUCCUGCGUGAAAUCCUGCGGCUCAACCGCAGACGGUCGUGGGAAACUGGAAGGCUAGAGUGCGGGAGAGGAGAGUGGAAUUCCCGGUGUAGCGGUGAAAUGCGCAGAUAUCGGGAAGAACACCCGUGGCGAAGGCGGCUCUCUGGAACGCAACUGACGCUGAGACGCGAAAGCGUGGGGAGCAAACAGG